rnacentral:rRNA from 1 species
GACGGAGGAUGCAAGCGUUAUCCGGAAUGAUUGGGCGUAAAGCGUCCGCAGGUGGCAGUUCAAGUCUGCUGUCAAAGACCGGGGCUUAACCCUGGAAAGGCAGUGGAAACUGAAGCGCUAGAGUGUGGCAGGGGUAGAGGGAAUUCCCGGUGUAGCGGUGAAAUGCGUAGAGAUCGGGAAGAACAUCGGUGGCGAAAGCGCUCUACUGGGCCAUAACUGACACUCAGGGACGAAAGCUAGGGGAGCGAAUGGG